rnacentral:rRNA from 1 species
UGGGGAAUUUUGCACAAUGGGGGAAACCCUGAUGCAGCGACGCCGCGUGAUUUAGAAGGCCUUCGGGUUGUAAAAAUCUUUUCUAUGGGAAGAAAAUGACAGUACCAUAGGAAUAAGGACCGGCUAAUUACGUGCCAGCAGCCGCGGCAAUACGUAAGGUCCGAGCGUUGUCCGGAAUCAUUGGGCGUAAAGGGUACGUAGGCGGGUAAGCAAGUUAGAAGUGAAAUCCUAUAGCUCAACUAUAGUAAGCUUUUAAAACUGCUCAUCUUGAGGUAUGGAAGGGAAAGUGGAAUUCCUAGUGUAGCGGUGAAAUGCGCAGAUAUUAGGAGGAAUACCGGUGGCGAAGGCGACUUUCUGGCCAUAACCUGACGCUGGGGUACGAAAGCGUGGGUAGCAAACAGG